GGGCCUGGGCACCUUGGCCUGAGGCAGCGGGACUGCCCGGCGCCACACAGGGGGAGCGGAGCUGCUUCUCCUGCUUUUCCCUCACCACUCACAGCUGGGAGGCCUCUCCUUGAGCUAGGUGUCCAAGCUGGAUGUCUCCCACCAUGAUUUGAGUCAUUAUCAGGGCAAUCCUUUUUUUUUCUUUUUUUUUUUUUCUUUUUUUUGUGUGUGUGUGUUUGUGUGUGUGUCUUUAAAUCCCCAUUCAGGCUGGCUCCUGACAGAUGUUGGAUCCAGGUGCUACACAUUUGAGGUAAAAGGUUUUUCCAGCUGAAGCUGUUGUCUUUACCCUAAAAUGGGCCAGGCAUAGAGUGAAAGAGCAGAAAAAAAGGAGGUUAAAACAAACAAACAAACAAAAAAAGGGUCCCCUUGCCUCCUGCUGAGGGUAUUUAUUUGUAGAAGAGUUGCAAGAGUGUUAAAUACCUGUGCAUAAGUUAUAAAAAGUAGAAUAGCUCCAACAGGAGAGUUACUUGCCCAGAGUGUCUGCUAGCUGAAUGAUGAAGCUGCUCUCUUCAGAGGUGCCAGAUACCAGAACAGAAAUUCAGAGCGCAAGAAAGGCAAGACAAAAGCAGACUUCUUAUCCGCGCAGCACAGGAGCACGCUCUGAUACCAUUGCCCUUGAGCAGAGCCAAGGGCAGGGCUCCUGGAUGUACGUGGCCAAGCAGCUGACAUACCUACAAAGGGGGACAGAAAAAGCUUUCUGGUACUUGUCCAUGCUUUGUUUGGGAGCAAUCUGGGAGCUGCUGUGGAAGCAAGUUUUACUGGAGCUCAGCAGCAUCUAGCUAUGCCCUUUACUGCAACGGGCUGGCACGGAAAAAACAAGCUAGAGAAACCAUCUGUCUCAAGUUCGUGUGGCAGUACCUUGCCUUCAGUCUGGUCAACUCCAAAGGGGAAGUCUCGGGGCUUCGAGUGUAGCCUUUCAAAACACUUAGAACAAACCCUAGGCAUUUGCAGAAACCACAGAGUGUACAGUUAAUACACCCAGAUGUGCUGUCAGCCCCACAGCACUGCACCGGAGUGGAUGGAGUGUGUAAAUCUUGGAAAGGUUAAAGCUGAGAGAACAGCGAUACGCAUAAAGACUUGUGUUCCUUCCAGAAGGAGGAGGGGGGCGAGGUGUUAUCAUUCGACAUUAAUCACUUACAUCUCCAACCUGCCUAAAUCCUCUGAAAAGAACCAGCAAAGAAAACACCAGCUGCUGUAGCUCCUACUUUUUCCUCAGUACCCUCCAGUCUCCCUCCCUCCUCCCUGCCUUCCCCAGACUGUGUUUAUUUUUACUGCUCGUGAAUCAGCCAGGAACUUGCUCCCUGCAACAGGAUCAGCUGAGAACAAGCUGCAGUCUGUACAUUCCCUGCAAGCUUGGUUUUGUUUGGGAGCUUACGAUCAGCAGCAAAACAGUGGAGAAAAGUAGAGAAAGUGAUACACGUCUUCGUUCUCACCCGGAGUGAUGGGACUUUCAUUCCGCGUAGAGCGGGACUUCCCCAGCUCUCUGUGAGCAUAUGUCAGCUUUCACUAGAGAUUUUAAGCACGCUUGGUUUAUGAAAGAACGCUGUCAUCACUUAAGCAGUGAGUGCUUCGGGAAAGCAACCAUUGUUUUGUAUAGGUGUGCUGCACUCCCCCAAUAAUCCUGACUGAUGGCACCCAAACACCGCACGCUGACACAAAUAGCACGGCAGCUCGCCCGUCAGCAGUGGCUGUUUCUUCUCAGUUUGCUGCAGUGCAAGAACUCUUCAGUCUUGAGUAGCAGAAGGACUCCCCCACCCUGAGCACACAAGCCCCGGUGUCAGAGAAAUCGCUGCCCUGCGUGGCGAAAGUCCUCGUGGGUGACAGCCAGGCACGUGAUGAAGGGGGUAACGAAGAAUGGCAAUUAGUGACAGAGAAGUGAAUGGUGGGAAGGAGACAGAGGGAGAGGGGAAUGAGAGGAAAAAAAUGGGAAGAAAAAAAGGAAUUGAAACACACCUCCAAAAAAGUGUUUGUAGGAAACCAGGAAAAGGAAAGGGCCAAUGUGACCAAAUCAUCCCUAGGAGAAGGAGCACCGCCCUCAGCCUUCUCUCUGGUGCCUGGCUGAAGCUACCCCCUGCAGCCAGAGCACCUGCGGGGCCAAGACCUGUCCCACACUCGGUCCUCAAGCAGCAAGACUGUGGGGAAGCCAGGUUUGGAGUCUGGUCAUCCACAGAGCGAGGAAAUCCUUAUUUACAGCUACACCCAAAUGCGGGUUUUCUCCAGGCUCUUGUGUUCCAGCAGUCUGAAGGCCGCCCCAACACUUGCCAUCCGGCUGAUCACUUGUCACCCGACUCCCACCCAGUUUCGGCUCAUACCCCACUGCCAGGCACGGCCGCUGGGCUUGUCGCCAUGCCGAGCCGAGGAGCACCCGACUCGUGGAGAGGUGCAGGUCCCGCGGCGUGCACCGGGAGGCUGCCUCCUCGCUGGGGCACGCCUGGUGCACAGCUAAUCGCUUUCUGAUUGAGGCGGCUGCUUGCUGCCAGGACUUCUCUGCCAAAAGAUAGCCGUAUAAUACUGAUAAUCAGGCGCCCGGCGAAGAUAAAAUGCCUGUUGCUUGCCUCUAGCUGAAGAGUAUCAUGUUGACAGGCUCCUUAUUACGGCAAGCCGUUUGUGCUAUGGAAAAAGCAGAGCCUUUUACUGAAAAAAAAGUAAAAAUCUUAUCUCGGCCUAGAAGUGCAGAAAGUGCAAUUAAUUAAUUUGUUUCUGGAGUCUGACCUCUAGGCACAAUAGAUAGCAACGAGCUAUAUAUUGUAAUUACAGGACACGGCAAGCCUAGCCUACAGCUCGUAGCUGAGGGCAGUGCGAGGAGCGGAGGAUUGGUGUUGAAGGCGGUGGGAUGACUAACACACCGUAACAACCCAACUGGUGGGGCGAGAGGAACAGGCACCUGAAACAGCAGCUGGUGUCCUGCUGAAUAGUGAUGCCAUUUCCUAUUUCCAUUGCCUUCCUCUAGCCUGCAGCCACCUUGUCCCAGCAGCACCGAGUGACACAUGGCGUGCAGGACAGCGCUGCCCCACGUGCGGCUGGUGCCGUGCUCAUGCUCACCCCUGUGCUCCUCAUCCUCCCUCGGGAGCGCUGUGGGAUUUUCCCAGGGUGCACACCACAGGCAGGCAAACACAGGUGACAGUGACAGUACCCUUCUGAGAGACUUGCUCUAAUGAUACCCUUUAAUUUGCCUGGAAAAGCAAGGAAGGAAAAGAUAAAGAGCUACACCCUGCAGCCCUUAAUCUUGGAAGAUGCUUUUGAAAAAUAAGGCCAGUAAGCGAGCUCCUGUGUCAGACAUCCCCGCUCAGGCUGUGAAGAAACCAUUGUUUCACGGCACUGCAGCUUGUGUUGUGAUCCUUAAAUCUCAGAAGUCCAGCCAGGUCUCGUGUCAGCCUCAGCAGAGACAGGAAACGGUGCUGGUGAGUUGGUAGGUGACCCUUUUCUUCCUGAGAAAGCAACACCCCAUGGUGUCAAGAGAACAUAACGCUGCUUGCAGGUCUGUCCUUUUGAGGAGAGUGAAAACGGAGGAGAGCAAAGACCUUGUGACUCCUUUUGUAAUUACACAUCCCCUCGUGCUCGCUGGUAUCAAGGACAAUGUUGUCCUCCCUAGUGUCAUUCUGUUGACCUACAAUUCCCAUUGACUGUUUUUUCUUUUCUCUAUUUUUUUUUUAACAUGGUGUGAUAUUCUUCAUUCUGUCUCUUAAGUACAUACAUAGAAAAAAAAUAUCCUGUAACCUCACUGGGAAUGUCUGGUGGAAAUUUUUCACAACUGCAUUUCUAUGUUUCUGAAAGUAGGACACAUCAGUGUGAAAGAAAUGAUGCUCAACCCAAUCUCUGUCACCUCAUUACUCUUGAGCUCCAGCUUAAUUACCUCCCUGAUGCUUUGCACAGCUCUUAACCAGACAUGCGGUGUCUGCUUAAAAAUCUGCCAUACAAAAUGAAGUGAUGACUAUAUAUCCUCUUUCUGCUGGGAGAUGAGCUGUGAGGUUUGGUAAAUAUAAUUUCUAGAGAACCCAGAAGGUGCAUCACAUUGUGCAGGCCUGGUUCCGCACCGCAGACAACUUACUGGAGUUCACAGAUGACUUACAAAGACCCACCGAAACCAGGCUCGAAGGUCAUAUCGCAAAAUUCAUUUAAAGAUAAUAACAAAGUUUUAACCCCAAUAAAUUUGUGGUUUAUUGUUUACAGCUCCAAAGACAGAAGUUACGCUACCAGCUACCAAAUUCUGACCUCCUGUGUCUCACUAUGACUGUACUGACGCCAGUGGGACUGCGAGACAGAUGAAUUUGAUGGUUUAUUUUCGGAAAGUUUUUGAGCUUUGUGUGAAAGUCCAUACCUCAAAGUGUCUGUGUGGGAAGUGUUUGAACCCCACGCAAAACUUCCUCCUGGUUCAAACACAGGCCUAAGGCUGCCAUUUCAGUAGCCCUGUUUUAUUCCAGUAACCCUCCAAAAUGUAAGCAAGGUACACACUGAAACUUUAUUUCACAGCCUUGAGAAUUGGUAACAUGCUAGUUUUAAGAGUACAAAAUAAUAUAAGGUAUAACCACCAAGUUACUAUAAUUUUGUCCAUGGAGAAUAUAAACGGGGAGCUCAACCCAGGCACUUAAUAAUACAGUAAAUAUGCAUCCCUUAUCUUCCCUGACAGAGAAGCUUUCCAAAAUCUGGGUGGUACUUCAAAUCCAUGAAGUCCCUUUCCAGCAAACAAUCUUUUUGUGUCUCACUGCAGAUAGGCUUUGGUUUUUGCUACUAUAGUAAUGUGGUGCAUCAGAGUUUCAAGAAACUUAUCUAUUUCCUGGUUUCCCUCACAAUCAAUAAAUCACAGCUAACGUUGCUAUUACACAAUGAAAGUCAGUGUUUGGUGGAUUCAGGGUUACACUUAGCCUAUCUGUGACAACAAUUCUAUGGAAAUAAAAAAUAAUAUUAAAUAAAAUAUGAGGUAUUCACGAAGAUGAAUAGCGGUGUUUAGGAUAAAGCUCAGGGCACAUGCACUAGAUCCUAAGACAUGACAGAAGACCUUCAGUCUCUUAUGGAGAGCUUCUCUCUGGAAGUUGACCUCACUGUUGCCUCAGCAGCUUCCUGGUGGCAUAUCUUGCUCUCAGAAAGAUCUUUCAGAAAUGUCCAGUUUAGUUCUGAACCUAUGUUCAGAAUUUCCUUUUCAUUAUUAUUGGCUGAUCAGGCAAAUCAUACCACUUUGUGUACUUAUAUAGUGUUCAGUAGCUCUCUGAUUGUUGUCCCUCUGCAUGUCCUUUACUUCUUUACAGGCUGACAUUUGCCUGUACCUUGGUCAUCUGCUGACUGCUGUGUUGGAAAUCUACUUAGCACUAGGAAAAAGUGUUCACUUCUCUUGUUAGAAUUUUUCUUCUUUAUUUCCCUGGCACAGAACUUGGGGAUAUUUUGGCAGCUGUUUCAGGGUUAACUGCCUUUCUGCCCAACCAGCUGCUGUUAAAUUUUGGGCCCAGAAAACUUUCCCUAUGCCCACUGAUCUCUGAUCUGGUGAGGCUAGGAGGGCACUGAGGUGUGCAUCUCUGUUUUUCCAGUGCUAAUGAUAGGGUGGUAAAGGGGUGGUGGUGUUCCUGGGGUUUUGCUGUGGUACUGCCUCUUUUUGCUGCGCAUAGUUACACUGUGACGAGGUAUGCCUGAACUCACAGAUCAAAGUGAGUUACCAGAAUGAUCCACUUGUGAGCUGUGGGCCAUUAUCUGUUAUUAACUCAUCUCGAGCAGCAUGGUCAGCAAACUGUAAUUUGCAGUAUGUUAUUACAUUUCUGCGCUGCGGUGUGCGGCAGCUGAGUGUGUGUGUGUGAGAUAGCCCAGAACGAGCAGUAAUCUUUUCUAGCUCGUUCAAAUAGAUCCUUGCCAACUUCUUCUAAAGUUGAUCAAGAAUUUAAUUUGCUUCUGAUAAUCCUGUUUUUCUGCUUCCUGCCCCUCCCUGCACGCUGAGCAGAGCAGAGGUUUCACCUUCUCUGUUUCUCUCCAGUACAAGCCUGCUUCCAGGAAAACUUGGAAGCACAGCAGCAACCUCCUCCAGUUCUCUGCCAGAUUUCCUUCAGGAUUUAAUGAUUCAGGUGGCUUCAUUUGCUAAAUUUUUGCCAAAAAAAGUAGUUCUCUACUGACACCAUAUAAUAAAGUUGAGCAAACAGGAGGGUUGGUAGGAGACUUAUUUUUAUUGCCUGGCUCUGGUCACAUGACAGAUCAGGUUACAAAAUACUAGUGCCCCUGCCAGCUCUUAGGAUCCACCAAUUCCUCCUGCUACUGUUUUAAUCCAACCUGUCUUGUCUUUUUCCUUUUAUUUAUUUUUUAUUUUUUGCUGGGGGUAGAGGGUGAGGGGAAAGGUAUUGCGCUGGGGCAGGAGAUAAAGUGAAAAGCAAGUGUAUCAUGAUUGGGAGUAUCCCUUUAGCUCCUUCUGUGUUUGUUCAGCACUUUUUCACCAGCUGAGUAGCUUAUUGCCUCCGAGUGUUGGCAGCCUUUGGCAAAGUUAAAGCAAUGUCAGCAUUUCCCUGUUCCAUCUAUUUUUUGGAAAAGAAUUGUUAAAAAUAUUACAUUUUCACCUUGUUUGCAAGUUGCGAUGAAGGCUUCUCCCCUAAUUAAAUUGUGACAUUCUGGCUUGAAAAACAGCUCCACGAUCGGGAAGAUAAGCUAACAGUAACAACAAAAAUCCUCUGCUGCACUUAUGGAAAGAAAUUCAGCAAGUCAGUGGAGCUGCUUCUUUUAUUAGCAGUGAGACCCAAAUCUUUUCAGAAAAAAAAAAAAAAAAAAAAAAAAAAAAAAAGCUGAUGAAACGUAGAUUUUAAAAAUGUUAACUUUACACAACUCUAGAGUUCUAUAUCAUAACAGUAAAAUCCUCUAUUAACAGGGAAAACCUUUCAGUUUGUACAAAAGCAAUCCCAGCACUACCUUGUGAAGAGGCAGAAAUUGAAAUUGUAAGCUGGAAGCUGUGGCAUUGCACAGUACUGACAGUUACAGUAUGCGAACAUCUGUGAGUGCAACAGGAGAUGGUAGGGCUCCUCGCUGUGUAAUCUGUGUUUUACUGACACCAAGCAACGUCAAGAGGAAUCGAACAGUCAGAGCUUCUGGUAGAAGUUUCUCUCUCUCUCUCUGUUUGCAUACCUUGGUAUAUAACCUAUUGUGAAACAAAGGCUCUCCAAAACCGUACAUUUCUAAAAACUUCUCAUGUUUUAGAUACCUACAGUAAGUCAUUUGUCACACACUGGAGACACACAUGCUAUCUCCAACAGAUUUUGAACAGUUGUCCCCUGCUUCUCUGUAUUCCCUUUGUCUGGAACCUGUGGUCUCCUCACUUGUGGUUUGUUUUUCUUGCUCGUCUGCUCUGAAAUACUUACU